AAUCCAUAGGUUAAUGAGGCGAACCGGGGGAACUGAAACAUCUAAGUACCCCGAGGAAAAGAAAUCAACCGAGAUUCCCCCAGUAGCGGCGAGCGAACGGGGAGGAGCCCAGAGCCUGAAUCAGCAUGUGUGUUAGUGGAAGCGUCUGGAAAGGCGCGCGAUACAGGGUGACAGCCCCGUACACAAAAGCGCAUGUGCUGUGAGCUCGAUGAGUAGGGCGGGACACGUGGUAUCCUGUCUGAAUAUGGGGGGACCAUCCUCCAAGGCUAAAUACUCCUGACUGACCGAUAGUGAACCAGUACCGUGAGGGAAAGGCGAAAAGAACCCCGGCGAGGGGAGUGAAAAAGAACCUGAAACCGUGUACGUACAAGCAGUGGGAGCACAGGUUUACCUGUGUGACUGCGUACCUUUUGUAUAAUGGGUCAGCGACUUAUAUUCUGUAGCAAGGUUAACCGUAUAGGGGAGCCGAAGGGAAACCGAGUCUUAACCGGGCGUUAAGUUGCAGGGUAUAGACCCGAAACCCGGUGAUCUAGCCAUGGGCAGGUUGAAGGUUGGGUAACACUAACUGGAGGACCGAACCGACUAAUGUUGAAAAAUUAGCGGAUGACCUGUGGCUGGGGGUGAAAGGCCAAUCAAACCGGGAGAUAGCUGGUUCUCCCCGAAAGCUAUUUAGGUAGCGCCUCGUGAAUUCAUCUCCGGGGGUAGAGCACUGUUUCGGCUAGGGGGCCAUCCCGGCUUACCAACCCGAUGCAAACUGCGAAUACCGGAGAAUGUUAUCACGGGAGACACACGGCGGGUGCUAACGUCCGUCGUGAAGAGGGAAACAACCCAGACCGCCAGCUAAGGUCCCAAAGUCAUGGUUAAGUGGGAAACGAUGUGGGAAGGCCCAGACAGCCAGGAUGUUGGCUUAGAAGCAGCCAUCAUUUAAAGAAAGCGUAAUAGCUCACUGGUCGAGUCGGCCUGCGCGGAAGAUGUAACGGGGCUAAACCAUGCACCGAAGCUGCGGCAGCGAACGUAUCACUUAAAGCGAUUCAGCGGGUUACGAUUGACGGAGCGAAGCGACGUCAAAGCGUAUACAAAGUCGAGUCGGUUUAAGGAUACGUUCGUUGGGUAGGGGAGCGUUCUGUAAGCCUGUGAAGGUGGCCUGUGAGGGUUGCUGGAGGUAUCAGAAGUGCGAAUGCUGACAUAAGUAACGAUAAAGCGGGUGAAAAGCCCGCUCGCCGGAAGACCAAGGGUUCCUGUCCAACGUUAAUCGGGGCAGGGUGAGUCGACCCCUAAGGCGAGGCCGAAAGGCGUAGUCGAUGGGAAACGGGUUAAUAUUCCCGUACUUGGUGUUACUGCGAAGGGGGGACGGAGAAGGCUAUGUUGGCCGGGCGACGGUUGUCCCGGUUUAAGCGUGUAGGUGUGUGUUCCAGGUAAAUCCGGUUCACUUUAACACUGAGGCGUGAUGACGAGGCACUACGGUGCUGAAGCAACAAAUGCCCUGCUUCCAGGAAAAGCCUCUAAGCAUCAGGUAACAUCAAAUCGUACCCCAAACCGACACAGGUGGUCAGGUAGAGAAUACCAAGGCGCUUGAGAGAACUCGGGUGAAGGAACUAGGCAAAAUGGUGCCGUAACUUCGGGAGAAGGCACGCUGACACGUAGGUGAAGUGAUUUACUCACGGAGCUGAAGUCAGUCGAAGAUACCAGCUGGCUGCAACUGUUUAUUAAAAACACAGCACUGUGCAAACACGAAAGUGGACGUAUACGGUGUGACGCCUGCCCGGUGCCGGAAGGUUAAUUGAUGGGGUCAGCGCAAGCGAAGCUCCUGAUCGAAGCCCCGGUAAACGGCGGCCGUAACUAUAACGGUCCUAAGGUAGCGAAAUUCCUUGUCGGGUAAGUUCCGACCUGCACGAAUGGCGUAAUGAUGGCCAGGCUGUCUCCACCCGAGACUCAGUGAAAUUGAACUCGCUGUGAAGAUGCAGUGUACCCGCGGCAAGACGGAAAGACCCCGUGAACCUUUACUAUAGCUUGACACUGAACAUUGAGCCUUGAUGUGUAGGAUAGGUGGGAGGCUUUGAAGUGUGGACGCCAGUCUGCAUGGAGCCGACCUUGAAAUACCACCCUUUAAUGUUUGAUGUUCUAACGUGGACCCGUAAUCCGGGUUGCGGACAGUGUCUGGUGGGUAGUUUGACUGGGGCGGUCUCCUCCUAAAGAGUAACGGAGGAGCACGAAGGUUGGCUAAUCCUGGUCGGACAUCAGGAGGUUAGUGCAAUGGCAUAAGCCAGCUUGACUGCGAGCGUGACGGCGCGAGCAGGUGCGAAAGCAGGUCAUAGUGAUCCGGUGGUUCUGAAUGGAAGGGCCAUCGCUCAACGGAUAAAAGGUACUCCGGGGAUAACAGGCUGAUACCGCCCAAGAGUUCAUAUCGACGGCGGUGUUUGGCACCUCGAUGUCGGCUCAUCACAUCCUGGGGCUGAAGUAGGUCCCAAGGGUAUGGCUGUUCGCCAUUUAAAGUGGUACGCGAGCUGGGUUUAGAACGUCGUGAGACAGUUCGGUCCCUAUCUGCCGUGGGCGCUGGAGAACUGAGGGGGGCUGCUCCUAGUACGAGAGGACCGGAGUGGACGCAUCACUGGUGUUCGGGUUGUCAUGCCAAUGGCACUGCCCGGUAGCUAAAUGCGGAA
rnacentral:rRNA from 1 species